AGUGAACGCUGGCGGCAGGCCUAAUACAUGCAAGUCGAACGGCAGCACAGCAGAGCUUGCUCUGUGGGUGGCGAGUGGCGGACGGGUGAGGAAUACAUGGGAAUCUGCCCAGUCGUGGGGGAUAACGUAUGGAAACGUACGCUAAUACCGCAUGCGCCCUAAGGGGGAAAGCCGGGGACCGCAAGGCCUGGCGCGAUUGGAUGAGCCCAUGUUCGAUUAGCUAGUUGGCGGGGUAAAGGCCCACCAAGGCGACGAUCGAUAGCUGGUCUGAGAGGAUGAUCAGCCACACUGGAACUGAGACACGGUCCAGACUCCUACGGGAGGCAGCAGUAGGGAAUAUUGGACAAUGGGGGCAACCCUGAUCCAGCCAUGCCGCGUGAGUGAAGAAGGCCCUCGGGUUGUAAAGCUCUUUUAGUAGGGAAGAUGAUGACGGUACCUACAGAAAAAGCUCCGGCUAACUUCGUGCCAGCAGCCGCGGU
rnacentral:rRNA from 1 species